GAUGAACGCUGGCGGCGUGCCUAAUACAUGCAAGUCGAGCGAACAGACGAGGAGCUUGCUCCUUCGACGUUAGCGGCGGACGGGUGAGUAACACGUAGGUAACCUACCUAUAAGACUGGGAUAACUUCGGGAAACCGGAGCUAAUACCGGAUAAUAUUUCGAACCGCAUGGUUCGAUAGUGAAAGAUGGCUUUGCUAUCACUUAUAGAUGGACCUGCGCCGUAUUAGCUAGUUGGUAAGGUAACGGCUUACCAAGGCAACGAUACGUAGCCGACCUGAGAGGGUGAUCGGCCACACUGGAACUGAGACACGGUCCAGACUCCUACGGGAGGCAGCAGUAGGGAAUCUUCCGCAAUGGGCGAAAGCCUGACGGAGCAACGCCGCGUGAGUGAUGAAGGUCUUCGGAUCGUAAAACUCUGUUAUUAGGAAAGAACAAACGUGUAAGUAACUGUGCACGUCUUGACGGUACCUAAUCAGAAAGCCACGGCUAACUACGUG
rnacentral:rRNA from 1 species